CCUACGUGCGGCAGCAGUGGGGAAUAGUGCACAAGGGGCGAAAGCCUGAUGCAGCAACGCCGCGUGAGCGAUGAAGGCCUUCGGGUCGUAAAGCUCUGUCCUCAAGGAAGAGAAUGACGGUAAUUGAGGAGGAAGCCCCGGCUAACGACGUGCCAGCAGCCUCGGUAAUACGUAGGGGGCGAGCGUGAUCCGGAAUUACUGGGCGUACAGGGGGCGUAGGUGGUUUCUUAAGUCAGAGGUGAAAGGCUACGGCUCAACCGUAGUAAGCCUUUGAAACUGGGGAACUUGAGUGCAGGAGUGGCGAGUGGUAUUCCUCUUGUCGCUGUUACAUGCGUAGAUAUUAGGCGGAACUCCAGUUGC
rnacentral:rRNA from 1 species